rnacentral:rRNA from 1 species
UACAGAGGGGGCAAGCGUUAUUCGGAAUUAUUGGGCGUAAAGGGCGCGUGGGCGGUCGUGCAAGUGGAAGGUGAAAUCCCUCGGCUCAACCGAGGAACUGCCUUUCAAACUGCAUGACUUGAGUCCGGGAGAGGUGAGUGGAAUUCCCAGUGUAGCGGUGAAAUGCGUAGAUAUUGGGAGGAACACCAGUGGCGAAGGCGGCUCACUGGACCGGAACUGACGCUGAGGCGCGAAAGCGUGGGGAGCAAACGGG